CGUUCCCGGGCCUUGUACACACCGCCCGUCACAUCACUAAAGUCGGUAACACCCGAAGCCGGUGGCCCAACCCUUGUGGAGGGAGCCGUCGAAGGUGGGACUGGCGAUUGGGACU
rnacentral:rRNA from 1 species